UCUAUCCCACAACUCAGGCCAAGGGAAGAGGCGAGGCGAGGCGGAGGGCGGGCAGUCUCCGCUCCGCUCCGCUCCAGCUGGCUUCUGUCCACCCCCGCCUCCAGGCCUGCGGACUCCCCGCGGAGGCUCCAGAUCCCUCUGGCUGCCAUCUUCUGUACACGCAAUUAUGCCAUCCAUCAACUUGCCCUUAGACAGUUGCUGAGUCUCCCAGCCACACGCCCAGCAUCAGGCUCCCAAGCUGAUGCAGUCGCCGAAGCAACUCUAGGCGGUGAUUCGACUGGAUGUUGACCCAGGACUGCGGAGAGCCAGGCUCCUAUCAGCCAUGGCAACUUACUGGAUGACCUGGGGCCAGUCAUUCCCGCUGACAUUGUGCGGAGGAUAAAACGAUAAAACGAUUCUCCAGUUUCAGGACAAACAGUUGCGGUCAGAAGGGCUAGAGAAGAAGACGGAGAGAGUUUAUUUCGUCCUCAAUAAAUUGGGUGUUAUUCUCGGGUUCAAAGGAGGUCCACUCGGAAAUGAAGCAGGAAAGCGAAGCAGCAUCAUACAUCAGCGGGGUUGGGCCAGAUUCCAAGUGAUUGGGAGAAAAUGGCAUUUCUGACAAGGAGAACCUUUUGCUUUAUAUAAUCACUUUGGAAAACGCAGCGUCUUGCACCCGUAUAUAAGCCCAGUAUGACCCAACGAAGUCAGCGUCGCCAGGCUGAAAGAGCCGGGCGAACGAAGCACAAAGGAGAAACGCGAAUGCUGAUACGAAGACUUCGAGUUCAUUUCAGAUGAGGAUAACGUUCAAGGGAGUGUCCCAGACUUCCUGCCUGGACGCUGAGCUCGGCUUUAGGGGAAAAUCAGGGUCUGGUAGCCCCUUUUCGGGCUAACCCAUUGUAUU